ACGUAGCAAACGAUUCGAUUAGUCGAUUGUCAAUCGCGAUCCCUAAUUCCUAUUCCAUCGAUUUGUAUCGUUAUGCGAAGUAUUUAAGAAUCGUCCACCGUUUGCUAUCGACUUUGCCGAGGGAAUCGCGUAAUAUCGUUCUGUAACAUCUCAGGAAGAAACGAAGCGCAAUUGGCGAUAUACGCGUUAAAGAGAAUACACCAUCUUGAAGAUCGAGUCUGUGAGAACUCGUGUCAAGUGCUUCGACGAUGCGUUCCCGUCACGUCCGUAUGAACACGUGUACGUACAGUGAUGAGAAAAGUAUUUGACUCGCGGAAGUAUUUAAAUGUUUAUCGUAGAAAGUUUUUCUAAAUAUAUUACGCAUAUACGUACACUGUACGAAACUUUUUGAAAUUUUAUAACGAAUCACGGUGAUAGAAUUUGAAAGCAAAGUCUAAAAAUUUACAUAGGAGUUACAAGAUAUUUGCCGUAAGCAUAUAGUUUGCACAAAUGUAAUAUAAUUUGAAUACAUUAAAAAUGAUAAUAAUAAUAUAGUAGAUACACAACUGUUUAAAUAAUAGCUUUAGCGAAGCGCAUGUUUGCAAGAAAUAUCUUGUAACUUUUUCAAACUUGUUUCAAACUUUAUAUCGAUGAUCUCGUGUCGUGCAAAAUCUUUUCCAUAACACACAUAACAUAUUCCAAAAGAGUUUCUACGAGUGUUCGAAUACUUUCAUGAGCCAUCGUAUGUGAACGUGUGUAUGUUAAUGUUAGGUCCAUGGGAUUCACGCGACUCUACGCGACCAACGCUUGAAACGUAUCGUUGUUCUAUCGAUAAACGAUCAAACGACUAAUAAACUUUCGUUCGACGUUCUUAGAUCGAACGAAUUGUUUUCGUUAUCCGUUUGCUAAUAAAAUACAACGAUAGAUUAUGUAGAUGGUGUAGAAUCGAAGAGUCGCGACGAGAAAAUGUUGUUUCGCGUUGGUUUACCGAUCGCGGUUACGUCGGCGCUAUAUAGCGAGCGUGUGUUACGUAUAUUAUCGCGACUUCCGGUGUUCCGUGCGUCGCCAUGAAAUCGGCGUAACCGUCAGACAGUCAAUGUCGAUUGUCUCGACAAUACGAUCGAGUUUUAACGUCGUCAUUCCACGUUCUCGAACACGAUCAACCGGGACAGUGGCGCGAAUAAAUAGCUGCAGUUGGAAAAAUGCGAGUUUAUUUAAAUGGAUAUGCGAAAUGGAUUUGGAUUUGUCCAAAGGGAUAAAUUUUGAGGAUCGGAGAGAUGAUAGGCUGCGUCCUCGCUGAAGCAACACCGAGCAGCUUUUCGUUGCCUGUCGUUGCUGCAUGUUCCCCGAACGGAACUAGACAAAUAUCGAAUCGUAAAAUUAGACAUUUCGAGUUCUCUUUUUCGAUUUCAAAGCGAAAGUUUUUUUUGGAAUAAGUUGCCUACACCCAAAUGCGUUGUAAAACGGUCGACAAACUGUACACGCUGAUGGUUUGUUUCUGUUGCAACGCGUUGCUGCGUGUUUCUUACUUUUAGCUUCGGUCUUCGGCAUUGCGGAAACAGGCACCAAGCACCAAGCUGCGUCACUAGCAACAGAAACGCGAGGGAACAUGAAAGAACACCGAGCAACGACCCGUAACUUUUUCAUGCAGUAGGCAACUUGAACAAGAAGAUCCUCGUUGUUGAAUCGCUUCAAUGAGAACGCAACUUUAGAGGGACAGGUUAGGUAAAUUUUCUGAUUAAUAUAUACUCUUUAUUUAAAAAUCAGCACACACGCAGGUAAACCUAGGUAAGAGGAAGCAUGCCGAUAUCGUUGACCGGAAACAACCGAAGACGCUCUCCGUUUACCUCUUUCAUACGAGCGACCUUUCUUUUACUCUGUCUCGUUUGUCGUUCCUACUUCAUUUCGUCGUCCUGCAACCAUCACCCCCAUCCUGCUUUACGGAUCGAUCAACGACCCGCCAGGACGCGUGGAACGAGCGUAUUUACUAAUAAACUUUAUUUAUUCGAACGAUUCAACUACUAUCACGAAAUAGUUGGUCUAACUGUAAGCGUCGAGCGUUACGAACGCUGUACGAACGCGAACGCUAUACUCUGUUACGUUAACUCGAUACCCUUUAAAUAAAUAUAUUGAAGACUAA